CCUACGGGCGGCUGCAGUGGGGAAUAUUGGACAAUGGGGGGAACCCUGAUCCAGCCAUGCCGCGUGUGUGAAGAAGGCCCUCGGGUUGUAAAGCACUUUCAGUGAGGAAGAACGCCUGGUGGUUAAUACCCAUCAGGAAAGACAUCACUCACAGAAGAAGCACCGGCUAACUCCGUGCCAGCAGCCGCGGUAAUACGGAGGGUGCGAGCGUUAAUCGGAAUUACUGGGCGUAAAGCGCGCGUAGGUGGCUUGAUAAGCCGGUUGUGAAAGCCCCGGGCUCAACCUGGGAACGGCAUCCGGAACUGUCAAGCUAGAGUGCAGGAGAGGAAAGUAGAAUUCCCGGUGUAGCGGUGAAAUGCGUAGAGAUCGGGAGGAAUACCAGUGGCGAAGGCGGCCUUCUGGACUGACACUGACACUGAGGUGCGAAAGCGUGGGUAGCAAACAGGAUUAGAUACCCUUGUAGUC
rnacentral:rRNA from 1 species